GUUAUGUUGAUUUUAGGCUUGUAUUUUGAAAAAACCUCUUCGUUUGAGUGUACGUGAGACACAUGGACUCCGUUUAGAAGCUUGGCUUCUUUAUCGUACACAUUUGCAAGCAUUGAGACCAAUCUACGCAACAUAUUUCUCCGGAAAAGGAAAAUUACAUUAACGCCCCUAUCGUUGAAGUAUUGUAUAAUCUCUUUUGGAUGUUGCAUCAAUCCCUACAUUAUGAUACGACAACGAAUUUCACAAUAUGAUAUGACCAAAUCACAAAUCUUUUGAUAUUAUAACGGUGAGAACUUGUCACCAGAAAACUCACAGGCCCCACCAAUACCCUGCUAAUCAAUGGGACCCGGUAAAACAAGUUAAAACACGAUAUACAAUUUUGAUACUCCAUUUUCUUAGUGCUCACAUCUAGUCAAAUAUAAAUGCAUUAACAUAAUGCCUUUACCUAAAUACCCCUACUCAUAUGAUGGAUAUUCAAAGGUUUUUGUAACUUACAAGGGUAGGGCUGCAAACGGACUGAACGAACACGAAUAAGACCUUGUGUUGUGUUCGUUUGUUAAGGAGAUAUAUGUGUUCACGAACUGUUAAUGAACACUUACCAAACGAGUUUUUAUGUUCGUGUUCGGUCGUUAAGGAAAUGAACGUGUUCAUGUCCGUUUGUUAAUUUUAGGUAACAAAUGCAAAUGAACGUUUAUGAAAACAAACUAACACAUGCUAAUGGUCAUGAACACACAUGAAAACUAACGAAAA
rnacentral:lncRNA from 1 species